GACGAACGCUGGCGGCGUGCUUAACACAUGCAAGUCGAGCGGUAAGGCUCCUUCGGGAGUACACGAGCGGCGAACGGGUGAGUAACACGUGAGUAAUCUGCCCUUCACUUCGGGAUAACCACCGGAAACGGUGGCUAAUACCGAAUACGACCAGUCUUCGCAUGAGGUGCUGGUGGAAAGUCUUUUCGGUGAAGGAUGUGCUCGCGGCCUAUCAGCUUGUUGGUGGGGUAAUGGCCUACCAAGGCUUCGACGGGUAGCCGGCCUGGGAGGGUGACCGGCCACACUGGGACUGAGACACGGCCCAGACUCCUACGGGAGGCAGCAGUGGGGAAUAUUGGACAGUGGGCGAAAGCCUGAUCCAGCAACGCCGCGUGAGGGAUGACGGCCUUCGGGUUGUAAACCUCUUUCAGUACCGACGAAGCGCCCUGUCGGGUGGUGACGGUAGGUACAGAAGAAGGACCGGCCAACUACGUG
rnacentral:rRNA from 1 species